CAGGAUGGACCCGCGUCUGAUUAGCUAGUUGGUAAGGUAACGGCUUACCAAGGCGACGAUCAGUAGCCGACCUGAGAGGGUGAUCGGCCACAUUGGAACUGAGACACGGUCCAAACUCCUACGGGAGGCAGCAGUGGGGAAUAUUGCACAAUGGGCGAAAGCCUGAUGCAGCAACGCCGCGUGAGUGAUGAAGGCCUUCGGGUCGUAAAACUCUGUCCUCAAGGAAGAUAAUGACGGUACUUGAGGAGGAAGCCCCGGCUAACUACGUGCCAGCAGCCGCGGUAAUACGUAGGGGGCUAGCGUUAUCCGGAUUUACUGGGCGUAAAGGGUGCGUAGGCGGUCUUUCAAGUCAGGAGUGAAAGGCUACGGCUCAACCGUAGUAAGCUCUUGAAACUGGGAGACUUGAGUGCAGGAGAGGAGAGUGGAAUUCCUAGUGUAGCGGUGAAAUGCGUAGAUAUUAGGAGGAACACCAGUUGCGAAGGCGGCUCUCUGGACUGUAACUGACGCUGAGGCACGAAAGCGUGGGGAGCAAACAGGAUUAGAUACCCUGGUAGUCCACGCUGUAAACGAUGAGUACUAGGUGUCGGG
rnacentral:rRNA from 1 species